rnacentral:rRNA from 1 species
UCCCAGUUCGGAUUGUAGUCUGCAACCCGACUACAUGAAGCUGGAAUCGCUAGUAAUCGCGAAUCAGAAUGUCGCGGUGAAUACGUUCCCGGGUCUUGUACACACCGCCCGUCACACCAUGGGAGUUGGGAAUGCCCGAAGCCGGUGACCUAACCGAAAGGGAGGAGCCGUCGAAGGCAGGCUUGAUAACUGGGGUGAAGUCGUAACAAGGUAGC